rnacentral:rRNA from 1 species
UGGGGAAUUUUGGACAAUGGGCGCAAGCCUGAUCCAGCCAUGCCGCGUGCGGAAAGAAGGCCUUCGGGUUGUAAACCGCUUUGUCAGGGAAGAAAUCUUCUGAGUUAAUACCUCGGGAGGAUGACGGUACCUGAAGAAUAAGCACCGGCUAACUACGUGCCAGCAGCCGCGGUAAUACGUAGGGUGCAAGCGUUAAUCGGAAUACUGGGCGUAAAGCGUGCGCAGGCGGUUUUGUAAGACAGAGGUGAAAUCCCCGGGCUCAACCUGGGAACUGCCUUUGUGACUGCAAGGCUUGAGUGCGGCAGAGGGGGGAUGGAAUUCCGCGUGUAGCAGUGAAAUGCGUAGAUAUGCGGAGGAACACCGAUGGCGAAGGCAAUCCCCUGGGCCUGCACUGACGCUCAUGCACGAAAGCGUGGGGAGCAAACAGGAUUAGAUAGCCCUGGUAGUCCACGCCCUAAACGAUGUCAACUGGUUGUUGGGAAGGUUCCUUCUCAGUAACGUAGCUAACGCGUGAAGUUGACCGCCUGGGGAGUACGGCCGCAAGGUUGGAAAGCUCAAAU